rnacentral:rRNA from 1 species
GUGAAUUAGUGGCGGACGGGUGAGUAAUAUAUCGGAACGUGUCCAUUAAUGGGGGAUAACUAGUCGAAAGGCUGGCUAAUACCGCAUACGCCCUGAGGGGGAAAGCUAGGGAUUCUUCGGAACCUGGCGUUAAUGGAGCGGCCGAUACCUGAUUAGCUAGUUGGUGGGGUAAAGGCCUACCAAGGCAACGAUCAGUAGCUGGUCUGAGAGGACGACCAGCCACACUGGGACUGAGACACGGCCCAGACUCC